rnacentral:lncRNA from 1 species
UCUUUGACCAAACAAAAGAAAAAAAAAUGAUAUGUUACUCUAUAAUGUUUCAAAUACCUUAUUGCAAUAUUUUUUAUAGUAAUCACAAGGUCAGAAGGUCAGCAUACAAGAUUUACUUCCUAUUAGAUAUAUACAUUAUUUGAAAAUAAAGAAAUAUAUAUAAAACAAAAUAUUUGACCAUUCAGAAAAAGAUUCCACUUUUCUAAUGUUUUAAUUACCUUAUUUCUUAGAUUUUAAAAAGUCAAAAAGUCCAC